CACAGCCCAGUUCUGCGGCCUGCACGCCGCGGCCUGGCCUGCUCCGGCCUGACACCAGCGCCUCCCUGCUCCCGCGCGCUCCAGCCCCGGGGCCGAUACCUGACAACGCUGCCGAGCGGGAGCACCGGGCACUGAAGCUGAAAAGCAAGCUACUUCAGGCUGCCUCAUCAGUUACUUCAAUCUUGACCUCCUAAUGUUGCCCUUUUCUAGAAGCAAAUGGCUGGAAUACUGCAGGGAUGGAGGAGGAUCAGAGAUGCUGUCCUUUCCGCUUUGCUUGGAGGGAGUGGAUAUUAAUACCUAAAUUUUCAAAGCUGCAAGCCUUCAAAAUUCUAAUAUUUUCUUUGUUGGUGGACUCAAACCCACAAAUACAACAGCAGAAGAGUAGAACACAGUAUUCGGUGCCAAGCUGCACUGCCUGGUGCUCCUGUGGAUGGCGCCUCAUAUGACAUUUCAAACUAUUCAUAUUUGUUGUGGCGAAGUCACAUACUCGACAUCUGAAGAAACAACAACAAUUUGAAUGAAGAACUCUUGGGAAUCUAAAGGAGGGACAUUCCCCACCCCAAUAAAAAGGCUCUUCUUGUAAGUCUUUGAUUCUAAAGCAAAUCUCUUAAGUUUUACCAGAUCUCUGUGAAGACACUAUGACAUCCCACAUUUGGCUUUGUGACAAAACAUCUUCCAGCUGCCUGAAGUAUACUUUUGGAAAAAACAUUCUAGAAUACCAAUACUGAAGCACUGUCACAAACAAAUUAUGGUUUCUUUCUGUAUAACACAAUGCAGCUGGCUGAGUCACAGACAGUGGGAUUUGAACCUGAGACCUCAAUAUCUAAAAACCUAAAGGCCAAGUUGUACUGGCUCAAAGCCUGUACAGACUCUAACUUCUGCUUUCCAGCCACUAUAGAAGGAUAAAGUGCCACACUGAGUGAGUAUGAAUUACAUUUGUUUGAAUCUAUACAACAAACAAUGGAAAACUGCAAUAGAAAAGGAACUAUUAUUUUAAAAAAAAGCAAAAGGCAAGAGUAGUACACACUACUAACACAAAUUAUAGAAGCUUCUAUAUAGACCUAUGA